UUGGUAUAAACACUUCCAAUA
rnacentral:piRNA from 1 species